GACGAACGCUGGCGGCGUGCCUAAUACAUGCAAGUCGAACGCACAGUUUAUACCGUAGCUUGCUACACCAUAGACUGUGAGUUGCGAACGGGUGAGUAACGCGUAGGUAACCUGCCUGGUAGCGGGGGAUAACUAUUGGAAACGAUAGCUAAUACCGCAUAAUAUUGAUUAUUGCAUGAUAAUUGAUUGAAAGAUGCUAUUGCAUCACUACCAGAUGGACCUGCGUUGUAUUAGCUAGUAGGUGAGGUAACGGCUCACCUAGGCGACGAUACAUAGCCGACCUGAGAGGGUGAUCGGCCACACUGGGACUGAGACACGGCCCAGACUCCUACGGGAGGCAGCAGUAGGGAAUCUUCGGCAAUGGACGAAAGUCUGACCGGGCAACGCCGCGUGAGUGAAGAAGGGUUUCGGAUCGUAAAGCUCUGUUGUAAGAGAAGAACGGGUGUGAGAGUGGAAAGUUCACACUGUGACGGUAGCUUACCAGAAAGGGACGGCUAACUACGUG
rnacentral:rRNA from 1 species